GAUGAACGCUGGCGGCGUGCCUAACACAUGCAAGUCGAGCGAUUCUCUUCGGAGAAGAGCGGCGGACGGGUGGGUAACGCGUGGGUAACCUGCCCUGUACACACGGAUAACAUACCGAAAGGUAUGCUAAUACGGGAUAAUAUGUUUUGAUCGCAUGGGCGAAAUAUCAAAGCUGCGGCGGUACAGGAUGGACCCGCGUCUGAUUAGCUAGUUGGUAAGGUAAUGGCUUACCAAGGCGACGAUCAGUAGCCGACCUGAGAGGGUGAUCGGCCACAUUGGAACUGAGACACGGUCCAAACUCCUACGGGAGGCAGCAGUGGAGAAUAUUGCACAAUGGGCGAAAGCCUGAUGCAGCAACGCCGCGUGAGCGAUGAAGGCCUUCGGGUCGUAAAGCUCUGUCCUCAAGGAAGAUAAUGACGGUACUUGAGGAGGAAGCCCCGGCUAACUACGUGCCAGCAGCCGCGGUAA
rnacentral:rRNA from 1 species